rnacentral:rRNA from 1 species
GACGAACGCUGGCGGCGUGCUUAACACAUGCAAGUCGAGCGGUAAGGCCCUUUCGGGGGUACGACGAGCGGCGAACGGGUGAGUAACACGUGGGUGACCUGCCCUCAGCUCUGGGAUAAGCCUGGGAAACUGGGUCUAAUACUGGAUAUGACUCCACGGUGCAUGUCGGUGGGGUGGAAAGCCUUGUGCGGCUGAGGAUGGGCCCGCGGCCUAUCAGCUUGUUGGUGGGGUGAGGCCUACCAAGGCGACGACGGGUAGCCGGCCUGAGAGGGCGACCGGCCACACUGGGACUGAGACACGGCCCAGACUCCUACGGGAGGCAGCAGUGGGGAAUCUUGCGCAAUGGGCGAAAGCCUGACGCAGCGACGCCGCGUGAGGGAUGACGGCCUCGGUUGUAACG